rnacentral:lncRNA from 1 species
CGAACUUCAGUUUACCAGAAGCCCCAGAUUCUAUCUAGCCUUAUAGAGCCGGUAACUUGCUCAAGAAAGGGGCCAUCAUGGGUUGUUUCUUUAAUCCCUUUAGCCAUUGCUGUCUCUGCUGGUUGUCUUGCUCUGCACUCACACACCUACCCUUCAGUCUCUCUCAAUGAUGCUCCACUUUCCGACCUGAAAAGGUAAUCUUUUUCCUUAUCUUUUUUUGGUUGAUAAAUUAGUAAUUCCAUACAUAUUUUUUGGAAGUAGAAUUAUUACGCAAUGUUAGUGAGUUUAACAAUCGGAAAGAAUGAUACUCCUUUUGAUUUGCAUUUGUUAGUCUAUUGAUAAAUUAGUCAUGCCAUUGAUCCCCCCACUCACACACCUACCCUUCAGUCUCUCUCAAUGAUGCUCCACUUUCCGACCUGAAAAGGUAAUUUGAUUUUCCGUAAAACUUAUGUAUGAAUAAUCGUGUGGGUCAGUAGCUAUAUUAAAAAAAUGUUGGCUAUUGAAAAGGAGGACACUCGUUUUUGCUUCUAUUCAAAAUGAGGGUGUAUGGAAAGGUCAUGUUGGAAAAUAAGAAAGUUACAUUCUUUGAGCUAGAUUUUUGGAGCCUUUGGAUAUUCAUGGGUGUUGUAGAAUGUAAGAGAUUUGUUGGAAUGAAAUAAACCUGAAUGGAGUGAAAUGGUUAUAGAUGAUGCAUAUAGUAAACCUCAGUUGAUUAGGGAUUGAGUCAUUGUUGACUGAUUGAGUAGUGAAAUGCAUCCAGGAAGAUAUAAAUCUUUAUCCUUUAGAUAUGUGGACUUAUUGAUUUUCUCUUAUGUGUUUGGAAGUGUGAAAAUUGGUUGCAAAGGAAGCACGGAUUAUGCCGUGAAAGGUUCUCGUAGAGAAGUUCCAUCAAAGCUUAUAGAAGAAUUAAAGGGAAUUUGCCAG